rnacentral:rRNA from 1 species
UACGUAGGGGGCUAGCGUUGUCCGGAAUUAUUGGGCGUAAAGAGCGUGUAGGCGGUCCGGUAAGUCGGCUGUGAAAGUCCAGGGCUCAACCCUGGGAUGCCGGUCGAUACUGCCGGACUAGAGUUCGGAAGAGGCGAGUGGAAUUCCCCGGUGUAGCGGUGAAAUGCGCAGAUAUCGGGGAGGAACACCUAUGGCGAAGGCAGCUCGCUG